rnacentral:ribozyme from 1 species
CAAUUAUUUUCUGUGAAUAAUAAUAUCACAAUGGAAGUUGAGCAGAUUGCUAAACAAGCCCGACAGGCUUC